GCUAGCUGUAAACCACUUCUUAUGAUAACAUACCUCCCUUUUUCUUAUCAUAGAGAGAAGAAAAAAUGAAAAAGGGGAAGCCGAUGCUAAAAGGGAAAUAGGGGCUUUAGACCUCUUAAACUGCUCCCUGCUGUCUAGGAGCAUUAUCAGUUUUGGGAUGUAGCUGACUUUCACCAUCCAGGCCCACUUGAUAGUUGUGUAAAAGGAACUGUUUGGUUUUUGGUUAGAAAAUAUGGAAUUUGUCUUUGAAGGAAUGUCGAAACAAGAUAAAUGAGGCAGGGAGGAAAUAGUAUCUCCAGGAAAAUGGGGAGAAGAGGCAUUAAGAAGGCAGUAUCCUAUUUCCAUAUAGGGUUUUGAAAAACCCAGGAAUUGGAGGCCUCAUGCUGUUCCCUGCAUUUCUGGAUGUCUGAUUGCAGCUGAUGGAAUGUAUUUCUUACUGCCCCAGAUUCGUUGACAUAGAAACAGCAUUCUUCCUGGUGAAAUAGACAAAGACCACCUUCUUUAGCUGUCAGGACUUCUAGUCCCUGUCAGUUCUGAAGCACAACUGCUGCCAAAGAAUCGAACUUUUUCUGGAUGAUGAGCAUGGUUUCAUACAUUCACUGGAAACGGUUGCAAGCUUGGAUAAGAAUUUCUGGGAAGUCUUCGGCCCUGCUAUUCCAGUGCCAGCACCUGUAGCUACUCCUGCAGCAACCAGGAUUGGCACAACCUGCAGUGCCCUCUUAUGCUGGACAGGUAUGCUACAGGUACAAAGGAGGGUCCCAGUUGGUGACCGAAAUUUCCAAAUGUUGGUAUCAGGAACUGCUUUUGCCUCCAGCAAUGAUGUCAUCUGGUCACCUGAGCAUCUGUUGUCAAGGCAACGGUCAUCCAUUUCCAGCAUACAUUUCAUGUUAGAGUUACACCACAUUUCACAUAAAAGGCAGAUCCUUUCUGCCCUCUUCCACUUGUCUCUCCUCUCUUCCUUUUUUCUCCUCUCUUUCUCUCCUACCUCUCUUCCCCCCUUGGCCUUUGUCUCUACCAUUCCAAUAAACCUCUCCACGUGGAGCCCUGUUGACCUGGUGUGGUUUGUCCAGACAUGAGACAUAGAGCCUCUCUGUAAAAGACAAUGUAAAAGGUGGUAUGUGUAUGGCUGCUUAAAAAGACAACCAAAAGUCAUCAGUGGCUGAACAAAGAGGAAAGUGAAAGGAAAUGGAUUCAUGGGAAUUCAAUCAACCUGAUAACAUUUUACAUUUUAUGCCCAGGUUUCGUGCCGUAGGAGAACAGCCUAUAGUAUAGUUGGUGACCUCCAAAGGAGCUGGGAGUUGGG
ensembl:lncRNA